rnacentral:rRNA from 1 species
GUGGGGAAUCUUGCGCAAUGGGCGAAAGCCUGACGCAGCCAUGCCGCGUGAAUGAUGAAGGUCUUAGGAUUGUAAAAUUCUUUCACCGGGGACGAUAAUGACGGUACCCGGAGAAGAAGCCCCGGCUAACUUCGUGCCAGCAGCCGCGGUAAUACGAAGGGGGCUAGCGUUGCUCGGAAUUACUGGGCGUAAAGGGCGCGUAGGCGGACAGUUUAGUCAGAGGUGAAAGCCCAGGGCUCAACCUUGGAAUUGCCUUUGAUACUGGCUGUCUUGAGUACGGGAGAGGUGAGUGGAACUCCGAGUGUAGAGGUGAAAUUCGUAGAUAUUCGGAAGAACACCAGUGGCGAAGGCGACUCACUGGCCCAAUACUGACGCUGAGGCGCGAAAGCGUGGGGAGCAAACAGGAUUAGAUACCCGGGUAGUCC